rnacentral:lncRNA from 1 species
ACAAGUAUGAAGAGAAUGUCGGGAGAGGAAGUGGUGGCUAUGAGUCAGCAUGAGUCAUCUCGUUCCAAUGAGAAUGAAGGCUGAGGUGUGCGCCUUUUUUUUUUUUCCUUCUUAGUCGUGUGUACAUCAUUGGGAAUGGAGGGAAAUAAAUGACUGGAUGGUCGCUGCUUUUUAAGUUUCAAAUUGACAUUCCAGACAAGCGGUGCCUGAGCCCGUGCCUGUCUUCAGAUCUUCACAGCACAGUUCCUGGGAAGGUGGAGCCACCAGCCUCUCCCUGAAUAACUGGGAGAUGAAACAGGAAGCUCUAUGACACACUUGAUCGAAUAUGACAGACACUGAAAAUCACGACUCAUCCCCCUCCAGCACCUCUACCUGUUGCCCGCCGAUCACAGCCGGAAUGCAGCUGAAAGAUUCCCUGGGGCCUGGUUCCAACUGCCCACUGUGGACUCUGAGGCCUCUGCAUUUGCGGGUGGUCUGCCUGUGAUAUUUUGGUCAUGGGCUGGUCUGGUCGGUUUCCCAUUUGUCUGGCCAGUCUCUGUGUGUCUUAAUCCCUUGUCCUUCAUUAAAAGCAAAACUAAAGAAAACAGAAAAAAAAAAAAAAAA